UACGUAGGGUGCAAGCGUUAAUCGGAAUUACUGGGCGUAAAGCGUGCGCAGGCGGUUUUGUAAGUCAGAUGUGAAAUCCCCGGGCUUAACCUGGGAACUGCGUUUGAAACUACAAGGCUAGAGUGUGACAGAGGGGGGUGGAAUUCCGCGUGUAGCAGUGAAAUGCGUAGAGAUGUGGAGGAACACCGAUGGCGAAGGCAGCCCACUGGGUUAACACUGACGCUCAGGCACGAAAGCGUGGGGAGCAAACAGG
rnacentral:rRNA from 1 species